GGCUAAUGAGCUUGUUUUAAGCAUGUGCCUUGAAAGUACAAGAAAGACUUUAGUACUCUAUUAGCUU
rnacentral:tRNA from 1 species